CGAGUGAUGAUGGAACAAACUUAAGAGUUGUAUGCGCUGUAAUUACUACGUGCCGAUAAUGAUCUAUGCUCGCAGCAACACAGGAAGCGUCGUCAUUUUGACUACCGUCAACGACGUGACAUACAAGACACAUUAUAUAUACCGGUUGAAAUCGUAGAAGAAGCCAUUCAAAACAACACUGACGAUAUCCAGCAGGCAAUGGGGCAUUCCAUAUUGUUGGUUACGUCACUAAGAGUAGAGUUAACUACUAUGUCAUCAUCAUCAUCAUCAUCAUCAUCAUCAUCAUCAUCAUCAUCAUCAUCAUCAUCAUCAUCAUCAUCGCAACCAACACCGCCACCAUCAACAUCGCCAUCAGUAACAACAAUAGCAAAAACAACAACAACAACAAAUACAAAUACAACAAC